rnacentral:rRNA from 1 species
GAUGAACGCUAGCGGCAGGCUUAACACAUGCAAGUCGAGGGGUAUGGUUCUUCGGAACCAGAGACCGGCGCACGGGUGCGUAACGCGUAUGCAAUCUACCUUCCACAGAGGGAUAGCCCAGAGAAAUUUGGAUUAAUACCUCAUAGUAUUAUAGAAUGGCAUCAUUUUAUAAUUAAAGUCACAACGGUGAAAGAUGAGCA